rnacentral:rRNA from 1 species
UACGUAGGGGCGCAAGCGUUGUCCGGAAUUAUUGGGCGUAAAGAGCUCGUAGGCGGUUUGUCACGUCUGCUGUGAAAAACUGGAGGCUCAACCUCCAGCCUGCAGUGGGUACGGGCAGACUAGAGUGCGGUAGGGAGAUUGGAAUUCCUGGUGUAGCGGUGGAAUGCGCAGAUAUCAGGAGGAACACCGAUGGCGAAGGCAGAUCUCUGGGCCGUAACUGACGCUGAGGAGCGGAAAGCAUGGGGAGCGAACAGG